GACAAUCAUAAUACAGAGGCAUAAGGGCUAUCCAAAUAGGGUCACAGGUUACGCUAUGAAUACAGGUAUCACAUCAGAAAAUUACCGUACUUAAAAUCUCAGCAAAGAGAUCACACCCUCACACAAUUAAUGUUAUCAACAUCCAUCCAGUCUCUCAAGCUCACCCUCUUCAACAAUCUUUGCUUUACUGAGUUCCGGGUGGACUAUUUAAAUAUCAUACAAAUUGAUUCUGACAUCACAAUCACUGCCUGCUUCCUAAAACUUGCCCUCCACCGUCUAUUAUAAAUGCUUUCCAAUCAGUGCUCCCAUUCUUCAUUCUAUUCACCACUUAGUUACUAGAAUGUUUUUCUCAACUAUGAAUCUGACUUCACUCCCUUUCUUGAAAACCUCCUGUAGUUCCUGUUGUGUACGGGAUAAAGGUCAGACAACUUAGUAUAGCCCAGCUCAGUCCAGCUAGCAAAGCAAAUACUAGCUUUAUUCCCUGCAAGCAACGUAAGACAAAGACAACCACACUAAACUCAGUAUUAGCAGACCACCAUCCUCCCUGAGGCCUCCACUGCUUUGCACACACUCUUCUCUUUCUCAGAAGGUCCUUUCCCCUCCUCCUGUUGGUGCAGCCAAUUCUUUCUCUUCCUUCUAAUGCACCAUCUUCUGUGUAGUCUUCUUUGACACUAGGUAGGGUUACAUCUUUGCUCUGUGUUUCUAUAACACUCUUCAUAUGCCAUGGAACUGCAUUCAUUAUAUUGGUAUAAUUUUAUUUGUCUUUUUUCUUCCUAGACUGUGAGCCCCUGGAGUUCAGGGACCAUUUCUUAAUCAUAUUCCAGAACCUAUCACAAUGAAUGACACGAAGAAUAUAUUUGAUAAAAAUCUGAUGAAUGAACCACUCUAAAAUGCAACUCUAAUAAAGAAAAUUACUGCCUAUUCAGUUGGAACUGUACCAUGUUACAAACGUAAAAUUAUGUAUAGUCUGAUAAAGAAAUACUAUAAUAGCCUUGGAAACAGCUCACAUACAAUUUUUUUUAUAAAUGGAUUCAUUACCAUAUAACUGGACCAGCUUACUGAAGAGUAGCCCUACAGCAGUCACUUCGCAGUUUGCAAUUCAUUUGAGGUUCAAAGCUAGCUCAAGGGAAAACAACGUGCUUACCAUGGGGCUGCGCAGGUGGAAAGCAGCCCAGUCUUACUAUGAGGAUGUCCGUUUGCCAUCUGGGAACAAGGAGGAAGAAGCAGAGACCUGGGCAAGACCUCAGAGAAUAAAUUAUCUCAAUGGCUACUUACAUGGUCCAGCAUAGCAGAAAAAAAAGCCACACUGAGCAAGCAGUGGUCCUUUCCAUGCUACACAAGCAAGAAAUGCCUAUAAAGACAGACUUGAGUGCAGUCUAAAGAAUCUUUUGCUUUGCCUUAACACUCUACUUCUGGAUAUCCUUGCUCAAAAAGAAGUCUACUCAAGACAGGGAGGUUCCUGUGGACAGAAACAUCUGCUUCCUGCUUAUCCUGUAUCUCAGCAUCUGAAUGGUCAUGACUGGAACACAGGCAGACUUCAGAAAUAAAUACAUAAAUAUCUCAUACUCCUCGAAUCUUUUAGAAAAAGAGUGUGGGUAACAAUAAACAUAUCUGCUGAGAAAUGACCA
rnacentral:lncRNA from 1 species